rnacentral:rRNA from 1 species
CCUACGGGGGGCAGCAGUGGGGAAUAUUGCACAAUGGGGGGAACCCUGAUGCAGCAACGCCGCGUGGGUGAAGAAGUACUCCGGUAUGUAAAGCCCUGUCAGCAGGGAAGAAAAUGACGGUACCUGACCAAGAAGCCCCGGCUAACUACGUGCCAGCAGCCGCGGUAAUACGUAGGGGGCGAGCGUUAUCCGGAUUCACUGGGUGUAAAGGGAGCGUAGACGGCCAUGCAAGCCAGGGGUGAAAGCCCGGGGCCCAACCCCGGGACUGCCCUUGGAACUGCAUGGCUGGAGUGCGGGAGGGGCAGGCGGAAUUCCUGGUGUAGCGGUGAAAUGCGUAGAUAUCAGGAGGAACACCGGUGGCGAAGGCGGCCUGCUGGACCGCGACUGACGUUGAGGCUCGAAAGCGUGGGGAGCGAACAGGAUUAGAUACCCGUGUAGUC